rnacentral:lncRNA from 1 species
ACCUCUGGAAGGCCCUUAGCCACCGAGGGCAGCCAGGAAAACAGGUGUGAGGAUAAGGUCCAGGGUCAUGACAGGCAGUCCGUUUGUGGGCACGUAGGAGAAGGAAGGAAUUGGUGGGCAGACCUCUGACUCAGCCCUGCACAACCCUCACUCCCAGGCCUGCCCUAAAGUGCGCCGCAUCUUGGACAUUUGGGCCAGUGGUCGUGGCAUUGUCUCCCUGCAGUGCUUCCAGCAUGUGGUUGCCGUGGAGGCUUACACUCGAGAAGCAUGUCUUGUGGAUGCUUUAGGGAUCCGGACCCUGACCAACCAGAAGCAAGGACACUACUACGGAGUAGUGGCUGACUGGCCACCCACCCGGCGCCGCCGCUUGGGGGUGCAUCUGCUGCACCGUGCCCUCCUUGUCUUCCUGGCUGAGGGUGAGCGAGAGCUACGGCCCCAGGACAUCCAGGCCCGUGGCCGAGCACUGGGGAAUUGGCUAUCCAGCCUUGGUAGAGAUCAGGGUGUCUGAAUGUUCCAGCUGCCCUGUACUGAGAGCAGCCCAUCUCCUGCUCCAGAAGGCUGGUGGGGGAACACCAGGCCAGAUGUCCCCCGGAACAGAGGAAAGACUUUUAUUACAUAUUGGAACUGCUGGAGAGGUAGUGACCUCCCUGUCAUGGGAUGAGAAUAAGGGUAUGUGGGGGGAGAAACAUACAUUUGGAACAUUCUGGUGCUUUGAAACAUGCCAGUGCUUUGGUAGUUUGAUUCUAUCUGGGCUUAUCUCCCAGACACAGGGGACCCAAAAUGUAGGCUGGCCUGAGGGCUUCCCCAGCCACCCAGCUCAAGAAGGGACUCUGCCCAGCUCAAGAGUCAGGCUUGGAGUUCCUGUUGUGGCACAGCGGGUUAAGACCACAGCGUAGUGUCUGUGAGGAUGCAGGUUUGAUCCCCAGCCUCACUCAGUGGGUUAAGGAUCCAGCGUUGCUGCAAGUUGUGGCAUAGGUCACAGAUGUGGCUCAGAUCUGGUGUUUCCACAGCUGUGGUUUAGGCUGGCAGUGCAGCUCCAGUUCGACCCCUGGCCCAAGAACUUCUGAAUGCCUCAGGCGUGGCAUUAAAAACAGCAACAACAACCAAAAAAAGGCAGGUUUUGCUGCUUCCCAGCUGUGUGGAACCUCGGACCAGUAAUUUCUCUGAGGCUUAGAGUCCUCAGUUGUACCCAAUGGGGAAAGCAGGAGGUUCCACCUUAGGAGGUCACUGAGGGAAUCAGAGUACACCAAGUCAUGGGGUAAAGUGUUUGGCUCAGGCCCUACAGCCCAGGUGGAAAGUCACUAGGGGUAUGGCGCCAGAAUGUUGUCGAGGGACCGACUGUGCAUGGUGAGGGGUGGGCAGAGCUGGGGAGGUGGUCAUGGUGUGGUGUGAGACACCAGCCCUCCUUGGGAUGACUGUGUGGAGCUUCCUGGCAUUGCUUCUCUGAACCAGUUUUUUUGUUUUGUUUUGGUUUGGUUUUUUUUCGCUAUAAAAUGGGGCUCACUAACUCCGACUUCAUGCAGAGAGCUUCAGUAAAUGUUAAGCGGCUAUCUGGUGAGAUGUUGGCGGAAUCCUUCAGAGCCGUCCCGUGGGUUUAUGGGCUUGGUGAGAUCUACUGCCUCAUUGGGUUCACCACCUGCCAGUCAUCAGGGCUCAGCGAAUUAGGUCCUGUAGGGGGCGGGCCAUAGCUGCACCUGACUCCUUGAUUCCACCGCUGAGCCCUGGCUACUCUGGCUAUUACGGUAAUUGGGGUCCCUGCCGCUGGAGUGGACUUGGGUCCUACCAUUUUUUUGGGGGGGAGGCCUUUUUUCCCUUUCUAGGGCUGCUCUCGCAGCAUAUGGAAGUUCCCAGGCACUAGGGGUCUAAUCAGAGCUGUAGCUGCCGGCCUACACCAGAGCCGCAGCAACGCGGGAGCCGAGCCGCGUCCGCAACCUACACCACAGAUCACGGCAACACCGGAUCCUUAACCCACUGAGCAAGGGCAGGGAUCGAACCCGCAACCUCAUGGUUCCUAGUCGGAUUCGUUAACCACUGAGCCACGACGGGAACUCCGGGUGCUACCAUUUUAACUAAACUGAAGAAGCCUCUCUCAGAGCUUCCCUUUCCUCAUGUGUAAGACGUAAUUCUUCUAGACACUGGGUAGUUGCUCCAUAAAUCAAUAGCAAUUAAAACAGCAUGCUGGUGUUCCCUUCAUGGAGGAGCAGAAAAGAAUCUGACUAGGAACCAUGAGGUUGAGGGUUUGAUCCCUGGCCUCACUCAGUGGGUUAGGGAUCUGGCGCUGCCGUGAGCUGUGGUGUAGGUCGCAGUUGUGGCUCGGAUCCUGCCUGGCUGUGGCUGUGGCGUAGGCCAGCAGCUGUAACUCCUAUUUGACCCCUAGCCUGGGAACCUUCAUAUGCAACAGGUGCAGCCGUAAAAAGCAAAAACCAAAACCAAAAAACCCCAAAAGACAGCAUGCCAUCUCCCAGGAAUACACAAACAGAAGGAAUACAGAGACACCCCUCCACACACACACCAAAAAAAGGCCCAGAAGAAAGUGGAUUUGUCUAACACAGAGUUUUCCAAUCUCGGCCCUACUGACUUUUAAGGCCAAGAUACUCCCUGCAGUGGGAACCAUCCUGUGCAUUGUAGGGUGCUGGAUGACAUUCCUGGGCUCCACCCACUAGAUGCCUGGAGCACCUCGCCCCCGCCCCAGUUGUGGCAAGUCUUCAGACUUUGACAACUAACAACAGUGCCCCUGUAAGAACCCCUGGUUUAAACUAAAGGUAGGAGGAUUUGGGGAGUUCUCACUGUGGCUCAGUGGGUUAAGAACCCUGACAUAGUGUCUGUAAGGGUUUGGUUCAAUCCCUGGCCUCACACAGUAGAUUAAGGAUCCGGCUUUGCCAAAAGCUUCUGCGUAGAUCGCAGGCGUGGCUCGGAUCUGGCAUUGCUGAGGCUGUGGUGUAGGCUGGCAGCUAUAGCUCUGAUUUGACCCCUAGGCUGGGAACCUUUUUAGGGUUCAGCCCU